UCUAAGGAGGCUGGAAGUGACUCUCUGCUCAGCCAAAACUGCCUUAGAGAGCAGGAGAAAAUGGCGGGAUGCAAGAGGGGGAAAGGAUGGGGUCACACAAAGAAAAAGAGCUAGAGUUGACCAUUUCUCCACUCCAGCAAUGAGAUGUAAGCCAGGAGGCAAACCUGAGGCCACAAAGCCACCAGGGAUGGCAGAAUCUCCUGAAGGACUGGAGGUGGCCAGGGCUGAGGUCAAGGCCCCGAUGGAGGCAAGGAGGAUGGAAGAGAGACCAAGAGAACAAAUGAGUGACUUAAUAACCUCACUUUACCCAGAGAAUGGAAAAUAAAAUGCAAGAUUCCAAACCCUGCCGUUUCAUUUCAUCUAUGAAAAAUACAGGAAAAGGUGGGCUGUUUUGGCUUCCUACCAUGGAUGAGGAUCUUGAAGGAGAAACUUGGCAGAGCUUCUCUAUUCCCUGGGGCUUCAGCAAGGCGGUAGAGGAUGAAGAAGAGCAUAUAUGCCAGUGAGUAACAGUCAUUAAGUAAAAAUAGCAGGGGUCUUCUCACUGCUUUCUGAGAUUAGCUCAUGUUUUUGGGUAGGAUCAAUCUGGACAAGGGUUGAAAGCCAUGUCUCAGAAUUAUAUAAGAAUGAUGCCUUUGCUAGGAAAGUGAUGAGAUCCUUCUGAGUUUUGUCCAGGUAAUUCUAAUAUUUAAAAAGAAUAUUGGA